rnacentral:tRNA from 1 species
GCGGGUGUAGCUCAAUGGCAGAGCUCUAGCUUCCCAAGCUAGUGACGGGAGUUCGAUUCUCCUCACCCGCU